CACGGGGGGAGCAAGCGUUGUUCGGAUUUACUGGGCGUAAAGGGCGCGUAGGCGGCGCAACAAGUCACUUGUGAAAUCUCCGGGCUUAACUCGGAGCGGUCAAGUGAUACUGUCGUGCUAGAGUGCGGAAGGGGCUACUGGAAUUCUCGGUGUAGCGGUGAAAUGCGUAGAUAUCGAGAGGAACACCUGCGGCGAAGGCGGGUUGCUGGGCUGACACUGACGCUGAUGCGCGAAAGCUAGGGGAGCGAACGGG
rnacentral:rRNA from 1 species